rnacentral:lncRNA from 1 species
GGGCGGUGACUGCAGAGCCUGCCCUGUGCAGAAGCAUCUGAGCAAUUUCUCAAGCCCCUAGGCUUAGCAGCUGCACCAGGCACCUCAAGGCUGGAGUUUACACGAGGAGCCCCCAGUCUCCGCCCACUUGCGCCCCUGCUGUGCACGCCCAGCACCAGGACCCUCCCUACCCUGACCUGGGCUGUGAGAGCAGCAAAAGUCCAGAGUCCCCACCUGGGCAGCCUCGCCGCGGCCCCUGCUCCGGGACCCUGUCCCCAGCGCCUCCACGGUUAAUGCCGCAAGUUCCAAGCCAGCACCGUCUCUGCUAAGAU